rnacentral:rRNA from 3 species
GUCACGACUCUCGGCAAUGGAUAUCUCGGCUCUCGCAUCGAUGAAGAGCGCAGCGAAAUGCGAUAUGUGGUGCGAAUUGCAGAAUCCCGCGAACCAUCGAGUCUUUGAACGCAAGUUGCGCCCGAGGCCAGCCGGCCAAGGGCACGUCCGCCUGGGCGUCAAGC